GAUGAACGCUGGCGGCGUGCCUAAUACAUGCAAGUCGAGCGAACAGACGAGGAGCUUGCUCCUCUGACGUUAGCGGCGGACGGGUGAGUAACACGUGGAUAACCUACCUAUAAGACUGGGAUAACUUCGGGAAACCUGAGCUAAUACCGGAUAAUAUAUUGAACCGCAUGGUUCAAUAGUGAAAGACGGUUUUGCUGUCACUUAUAGAUGUAUCUUCGCCGCAUUAGCUAGUUGGUAAGGUAACGGCUUACCAAGGCGACGAUGCGUAGCCGACCUGAGAGGGUGAUCGGCCACACUGGAACUGAGACACGGUCCAGACUCCUACGGGAGGCAGCAGUAGGGAAUCUUCCGCAAUGGGCGAAAGCCUGACGGAGCAACGCCGCGUGAGUGAUGAAGGUCUUCGGAUCGUAAAACUCUGUUAUUAGGGAAGAACAAAUGUGUAAGUAACUAUGCACGUCUUGACGGUACCUAAUCAGAAAGCCACGGCUAACUACGUG
rnacentral:rRNA from 1 species